GGAGAGAGACGUAUUGCAUUUCUUAGCUUCUUUUGAUGUUGUCUUGUAUAAUGCAUAUUUCCUUGUAAUUAAAAUGCCUAACAGUUUGUUUGCUUUUUGCAAAGUGAAAACUGCAGAGAUAGUGGAGAAAGAAAAGCCUACAGAUGAAACUUGUUCAUCCAAAAGACCAAAGAAGAAGAAAAAUCAGUUAAAUUGAAAACGAGGGAGGAGUUGGAUAAGGGCAAGACAGGUGGGAAAAAAGGCCUCCUCAGGAUCUAAGGAAUGGGUCUAAAGAUCUUUGUGGCUGGUAUUUGAAGUUGAGCUGGUGGAUAUUACUUUUCAUCCUAAAAUUGUUGUUGUAGUAGUGUUCUCUUUAAGGGAGAACAUGUUGGCAUGAUAUGUCUUGAGUACAACUUCAUUCGAAAGAUCAAAACCCUUGGAUUGGAUGGUCAUGUUUUGCUUAGGCUGAACCAUCAUUAAGAUCUUUUCAUUUAGUAUUGCUUGUGUUUUUUUCUCUUGGUUCAAACAGAUGUGAGAAAAUGGAGGACUCCUUGAAACUCUUUUGGUGAACUAUUAUCAAUGAAUGGUUCAUAAUGUUUGAUGCA